GCCGAGGUAGCUCAGUUGGUAGAGCAGACGACUGAAAAUCGUCGUGUCGGCGGUUCGAUUCCGUCCCUCGGCACCA
rnacentral:tRNA from 1 species